rnacentral:rRNA from 1 species
GAUGAACGCUGGCGGCGUGCCUAAUACAUGCAAGUCGAGCGAACGGACGAGAAGCUUGCUUCUCUGAUGUUAGCGGCGGGCGGGUGAGUAACACGUGGAUAACCUACCUAUAAGACUGGGAUAACUUCGGGAAACCGGAUCUAAUACCGGCUAAUAUUUUGUACCGCAUAGUUCAAGAGUUAAAGACGGUCUUGCUGUCACUUAUAGAUGGAUCCGCGCUGCAUUAGCUAGUUGGUAAGGUACAGGCUUACCAAGGCAACGAUGCAUAGCCGACCUGAGAGGAUGAUCGGCCACACUGGAACUGAGACACGGUCCAGACUCCUACGGGAGGCAGCAGUAGGGAAUAUUCCGCAAUGGGCGAAAGCCUGACGGAGCAACGCCGCGUGAGUGAUGAAGGCCUUCGGAUCGUAAAGCUCUGUUAUUAGGGAAGAAAAUAUGUGUAAGUAACUCUGCACAUCUUGACGGUACCUAAUCAGAAAGCAACGGCUAACUUCGUG